UUUUCGGUGUGGCAGCCAUCCUUCUUUUGUUUGGUUUGGUAGCCACACGAUUUUGUUCUUGCUGAGGAUUUUCUUUUGAUUCCUCUUUUGCAGAGUUGUUUUUUCAUUUUCCUAUUUUUGUUGGAUUGGUUUGGAUUUACAAUCCAUAGGGAUGCCCUAAUUUUUGCCUAAGUCAUCAUUUUCAAGUUUUCGAAUUAGCAGGCUUUAUUUCUUUUGAUUUCUGAUUUUUUUUGUUUUUCCUGUUUUCUUUUUGUUUUGAAACAAAUUGUGUGACAUCUAUCCGCUUGAUUGGAAUGGGUUGUGAACGCCUCGUGCUUCUGUGGGUGAGGGACAACCGUUUGGAAUUUGGUGUUAUCCGACCUCUUGUGGGGGAUAAGAUAUGGUUGAUCCUCGGAUAGGACACUCCUCUUUUGAAGUUUAAACGCUUGGUCAAAUUGACUGACGACUACCCUGUCCCGGUUUGCGAUUGAGGGUUUUAUAUUUAGAAAGAAACUCAUACUCCUUGGCUCGAAGGGGUUGACUAGGGAUUAUCUUCCUUAUAUCUUCGAUGUUUGGUAUUUGAAACAAUGCCUUACAUCAUCAACAAGUUUUUAUUCAAAAGCGUACGAGCAAUGACUUCACGUUUUUAAUUUCAUCAUCCUC
rnacentral:lncRNA from 1 species